UACGGGGGGAGCAAGCGUUGUUCGGAUUUACUGGGCGUAAAGGGCGCGUAGGCGGCCUCCGCAAGUCAGUUGUGAAAUCUCCGAGCUUAACUCGGAAAGGUCAACUGAUACUGCGGGGCUAGAGUGCGGAAGGGGCAACUGGAAUUCUUGGUGUAGCGGUGAAAUGCGUAGAUAUCAAGAGGAACACCUGCGGCGAAGGCGGGUUGCUGGGCUGACACUGACGCUGAACUGCGAAAGCUAGGGGAGCGAACGGG
rnacentral:rRNA from 1 species